rnacentral:tRNA from 1 species
GGGUACUUAGUUCAUCGGCUAGAACGCUGUCCUGAUAAGACAGAGGUGGAUGGUUCGAUUCCAUCAGUACCCACCA